AUGGACCCCAACUGCUCCUGCGCCACUGGUGGCUCCUGCACGUGCGCCGGCUCCUGCAAGUGCAAAGAGCGCAGAUGCACCUCCUGCAAGAAGAGCUGCUGCUCCUGCUGCCCCAUGGGCAUGCCAGGUGUGCCCAGGGCUGCGUCUGCAAAGGGGCGUCGGAGAAGUGCAGCUGCUGCGCCUGAUGUGGGGACAACCCUGCUCCCAGAUGUAAAUAGACCCACCUGCACAAACCCAGAUUCUUUUUUAAAUACAACCCUGAGCCAUUUGUGCAUUUCCUUUUCUAUUAAAUAUGUGAAUGACA